GAUGAACGCUGGCGGCGUGCCUAAUACAUGCAAGUCGAGCGAACAGACGAGGAGCUUGCUCCUCUGACGUUAGCGGCGGACGGGUGAGUAACACGUGGAUAACCUACCUAUAAGACUGGGAUAACUUCGGGAAACCGGAGCUAAUACCGGAUAAUAUAUUGAACCGCAUGGUUCAAUAGUGAAAGACGGUUUUGCUGUCACUUAUAGAUGGGUCCGCGCCGCAUUAGCUAGUUGGUAAGGUAAUGGCUUACCAAGGCAACGAUGCGUAGCCGACCUGAGAGGGUGAUCGGCCACACUGGAACUGAGACACGGUCCAGACUCCUACGGGAGGCAGCAGUAGGGAAUCUUCCGCAAUGGGCGAAAGCCUGACGGAGCAACGCCGCGUGAGUGAUGAAGGUCUUCGGAUCGUAAAACUCUGUUAUUAGGGAAGAACAAAUGUGUAAGUAACUAUGCACGUCUUGACGGUACCUAAUCAGAAAGCCACGGCUAACUACGUG
rnacentral:rRNA from 1 species